CCUUUAUGUGACCAUCAAAAUGUCACAAUUUGUACAUAUUUACUGUAUUUAUAGAAUUCAAAGACAACCACACACUGGUGGCAGAGAUAAAGUCUUCACUGCGGCACAGGAGGCUGCCGUAGUGGAUAUGGUUGUUGCCAACAAUUCCAUAAGAUUGCGAGAGAUCCAGACAGCAGUCAUUCAAGAUCACAACAUGUUCAGAAAUGUCAACAGUGUGAGUUUGGCCACUAUUGAUUGGGUCCUUAAAAGACACAAAGUGGGAAUGAAACAACUUUACAAGGUUCCAUUCCAAAGAAACAGUGACAGCGUGAAGGAGACUAGACUCCAGUAUGUACAGAGAAUAAUGGAGCUUGAAGCAAACGCAACAUCCCAUACAUUCAUUUAUGUGGAUGAAGCCGACUUCGUAUUUCAAAAGUAAGGAGACGAGGGAGGAACCUCAUUGGUAAGAGGGCCACCGUAAAUGUGCCAGGGCAAAGGGGUGCAAACAUCACCAUGUGUGCCGCUAUCGCCAGCGAUUGUGUUCUUUGCCAUAUCCCUACAAUUGGCCCAUACAAUACAGAACGUCUCCUCACAUUUGUUGAUGCAUUGCACCAGAGCGUGGUACCACCAGAAGAGAGAGGGCUGGUGAGGCCCAACAUGUCCUGCUUCGUCAUCAUAUGGGACAAUGUUGCUUUCCACCACUCCCGUCUGGUUACUAAAUGGUUUGCAGCCCACCCACGAAUGAUGAUGCAAUUUCUCCCUCCGUACUCUCCUUUUCUCAAUCCAAUUGAGGAAUUCUUGGAGGUGGAAAGUUUAUGAUUACCGUUCACAUGACCAGAUGUCCCUCCUAGAUGCAAUGAAUGCCGGUUGUCUGGCAAUCACUGCAGAGGACUGCCAAGCGUGGAUGCACCAUGCAAGGAGAUUUUUUCCUCGCUGCAUUGCGAGGGAAAACAUCCAGUGUGAUGUUGAUGAAAACAUGUGGCCUGAUCGACAAAAACGAAUGCACUGAAUGUGGUGUAUACUGUAUUUGUGUUGCUUUUUUGACAUUGCUUUGCUUUUGCAGUGAUUUGUUAGCUUGGUGUAUUUUAUUUUUAUUCUCUGUAUAUACAGCAUCAUUGAAUUUGUAAAGGACAAAAUGGAAAAAGGUAAAAUAAAGCCUUUUGUUUCUGGAUA